CAGACCCGCAGCUGUAUCACGUAUUUCGCAGACAAUUAGCAGAAGACAAAUAUUGUGCAAAUAUUGCUGUCAACUGUCCAUUUCGUAUUACGGACUUACAACAAAAAAGCAGAUCGCGGACCAUCACUAGUGCUGCCUCUGCAGAGCGAUUUGUGAAACUUUAGUGCAUUCUUUUCCAUACAACUAACAACAACUGGCCUAAAGUCGGUAUUACGGAUGCUUUUGUAUGCCACACAACAGCAGAUAUUUAGCAAUUUCGUUUGUCAAAUUUGCGACACCUUUUGUAUCUGGUGCUGAAUUGUUGCUAACUAUCUGCAAGUGUAAAAUUUGUGAAAUUAAAUUAUUUUAACUUGAUUUAGGUAUGUACUAUGGACAGAGCUCAAAUAAUAAAUGGGGCUUUGGAGCCUAAGGAAAUUAGGUCGGAUACAUACGAAUUAGUGCGUUUGCGACGCUGUCUUCGUGAUCAAGCCUGACCCCUUAAUCUAUCGGAAAGUUUGUUCAGAACACAUUACAGAAUUUCGAAACAUCAAUAUUUACAAUUGUGCUCUGAAUUAAAGCCGUUAAUAACCUAGAUCAUCAAAACGAACAAGAAUAGAAAGUAAAAUGCAAGGUGUUAACAGCAUUGCAAAAUUUCAUACCAGAAACCUGUGGGAAUGAGCUUUUUGCAUUUUGAGUUAAACUGUAGUAAAUUCAAUGCCAUUAGGGAAGUGGCUAUGGCAUUAAACAAUCUUCCAGUUUUAUUGAAACAUUUAAAGUUUCUGCAAACAGUACAAUGGGUCACAAGUUAUUAUAAAUGGGUUUUACAAUAAAUUUGGCUAUCCUGGGGUUUCGGGGUGUAUAGAUGGCACUCAUUUGCACUUAUCAGAUCUUCUGUAUAUGAAGAAAGGUUUUAGAACCACAAGCAUUAUCAUUUCAAGAAUGUGCAAAUACUAAGUAUUUUGCUGAAGCCUAUCAUUCACAAUAACAAACAUUUGAUAGUACUUAUCUAAAGAAUUAAAUUUUUCAGAUCUGUGAUAGUGAUCUUAACAUUUUAAGUAUUGAUGCAACAUUUCAUGAUACAUUUGUCUGGCUUAUCACAACUGAAUAUGCCUAUGCAGGACCUGCACCAUAAUAGUGAAAAAGUUUUGUUUUUAGGCAAGUAAAACAUCAUGAGCUCUGUCUCAGUAACCUGACUACAAAAUAAUACUCAAUCUAAAAGUUUAAAACUUGGAAGGCCGUUAAUAUUUAUAGUACUAUAGUAAUGUUUAUUGUCAUACCAGGAACACUGUUGACCAUUGUGAGUAUUGAAGGCCAGUUGGAGAUGCUUGUUGGUACAUAGAGUACUGCAUUAUGAUCAUCAUAUGAUGGCCAAGACCAUAAUUGUUAGCUUGUAUUGCAUAACAUGGCAAACACACAUGGGUUUCCAGUGCCCCAACUCUCUGACGAAGAUGCUGAAAUUGAUGUUUCUUAUCAAAUUCAUAACGUUGUAUUUUUUGGGAGAGAAGAGGAAACACAGCACUUAGCACCAUGUCAACAUUCAAGGGUGGUUCAAUUGGAUUGUGGAGAACAGACAUUAAAUUUAGUCCAACCUCUGUAUUCUAGUAAUUUUAUGUAGAUAUUUUUAAAACUGCUGUUCUUAAUUAUGUGAACUGAGAGGGCAAGAAUAGCCUAAUUAUUUCUGCCUAUAAUUUUUUAAUUGUGUUUAGUGGAAAUAUACAUAUUUCCUUAACAUUUUUGUGUUUAUAGUAAAGGAUGGAUUCAUAACAAUUUGAAAGCAAAAUUGUGAGGUUGUUUUAUUAAGACAAUGUUUUAAUCUGUCAUGCUCAAUUUGUUCUGUAUCAUUUUAUCUUUAUGUUAACCCCGUUUGUAUGUUGUGUUGUUAUAUAUAUUAUUGUAUAUACUGCUGUUUUAAAUAACAGAAUAGAAUGAAUAACAAAUCGACUAGUAAUUCAUAAUUCUUCUAGAUUUUGUUGGAUACUUACAUGAAUAUUACUUACAAAAUGAAAAACAUAAUUCAUAAUUUAGACAAAAUGUGGAUCAACCACCACUCAUUUUUGUUCAUUGUGAUAAUAAUAAUAAUAUAAAUAUAAAUAUUUAACUGGUCCCGUGAUAAGUUCGUAAAGAACUUGUGUUACAGGUACCAGAUAACGGAAAUAAAUGUAGGAUUUUUAUUAUACACAUACAUAUAUUUAAUAUACAUCCAUAACCCUGGAAAAGACAUUUAUAUUUAUCAUACAAAUAUCUUUCCUUGGCGGGAUUCGAACCCGCGACCCCCUUGUGUAGCGACCAUGUCACUUACCACUACACCAGACGGCCGUUAGAUAAGUUUGAUAAUUAUUAUUUUUGUGUAAUUUUGUUUUAUUUGAAUAAUAAUUCUUAAAUUAGGAAA